GAUGAACGCUAGCGGCAGGCUUAAUACAUGCAAGUUGAGGGGCAGCAUGAUAUACGCGAGUAUAUUGAUGGCGACCGGCGGACGGGUGAGUAAUAGGUAGGAGACCUACCUCAUACAGGGGGAUAGCAUAGAGAAAUCUGUGGUAAUACCCCAUGAGGUUAUAUGAAUAGAGGCAUAUAAUCAAAGCAUAAGCGAUUAUGCGGUAUGAGAGGGGCCUACUGACCAUUAGCUAGUUGGUGAGGUAAGGGCUCACCAAGGCGAAGAUGGUUAGGGGUUUUGAGAGAGAGACCCCCCACAUUGGAACUGAGAGACGGUCCAGACUCCUACGGGAGGCAGCAGUAGGGAAUAUUGGGCAAUGGGCGAAAGCCUGACCCAGCCAUGCCGCGUGAAGGAAGACAGCCUUAUGGGUUGUAAACUUCUUUACUACGCGAAUAGAGGUUAGUACGAGAUACUAAUAGGAAGGUAGUGUAGUAAAAGCACCGGCUAACU
rnacentral:rRNA from 1 species